rnacentral:ncRNA from 1 species
AGAUUGAUAGCUCUUUCUUGAUUGUAUGGGUGGUGGUGCAUGGCCGUUCUUAGUUGGUGGAGUGAUUUGUCUGCUUAAUUGCGAUAACGAACGAGACCUUGACCUGCUAAAUAGCCAGGUUGACUUUUGUCGGCCGCCGGCUUCUUAGAGGGACUUUUGGCUCAAGCCAAUGGAAGUACGAGGCAAUAACAGGUCUGUGAUGCCCUUAGAUGUUCUGGGCUGCACGCGCGCUACACUGACAGAGCCAGCGAGUACAUCACCUUGGCCGAAAGGUCUGGGUAAUCUUGUUAAACUCUGUCGUGCUGGGGAUAGAGCAUUGCAAUUAUUGCUCUUCAACGAGGAAUGCCUAGUAAGCGCAAGUCAUCAGCUUGCGUUGAUUACGUCCCUGCCCUUUGUACACACCGCCCGUCGCUACUACCGAUUGAAUGGCUCAGUGAGGCCUUGGGACUGGCUCAGAGAGGUCGGCAACGACCACUCAGAGCCGGAAACUUGGUCAAACUUGGUCAUUUAGAGGAAGUAAAAGUCGUAAUAAGGUUUCCGUACUAACAUCCGUAAGGGUCGAAG